rnacentral:rRNA from 1 species
UACGGAGGGGGCUAGCGUUGUUCGGAAUUACUGGGCGUAAAGCGCACGUAGGCGGCUGUUCAAGUCAGAGGUGAAAGCCUGGAGCUCAACUCCAGAACUGCCUUUGAAACUAGACAGCUAGAAUCAUGGAGAGGUGAGUGGAAUUCCGAGUGUAGAGGUGAAAUUCGUAGAUAUUCGGAAGAACACCAGUGGCGAAGGCGGCUCACUGGACAUGUAUUGACGCUGAGGUGCGAAAGCGUGGGGAGCAAACAGGG